rnacentral:ncRNA from 2 species
UUCUUAUCAAGAGAGAUCGAGGGACAGGCCCUAUGACAUCUCGGCAGCGGACUCCACAGAGAGUACUGUGCCAAAUCCUGCAGAUGCAACUGCAUCUGGAAGAUAAGAA